rnacentral:rRNA from 1 species
GACGAACGCUGGCGGCGUGCUUAACACAUGCAAGUCGAACGGAAAGACCCUGCUUUUGUGGGGUUCUCGAUUGGCGAACGGGGGAGUAACACGUGAGUAACCUGCCCUUGACUUUGGGGUAACUUCAGGGAACUGGGGCUAAUACCGCGGAGGAGCUUCUGCUCCAUGGUGGUGGUUGGAGAGUUUCGGCGGUGGGGGAUGGAAUCGCGGGAUAUCAGCUUGUUGGUGGAGUAGUUGCAUACCAAGGCUUUGAGGGAUAGGCGGCAUUCGAGGGUGACCGGCGACAUUGGGACUGAGGUAGGGACCAGACUCGUAUGGGACGCAACAGUGGGGAAUCUUGCACAAUGGCCGGAAGCCAGUUGUAGAAACGCCGCGUGCGGGAUGCCGUCUUUCGGGUUGUAAACCGCUUUCGACUUUGACGAAGAGUGCGUGACGGUAACGGGUAAAGAAGCCCCGGCUAACUACGUG